rnacentral:rRNA from 1 species
ACGGGAGGCAGCAGUGGGGAAUUUUGGACAAUGGGGGCAAGCGUGAUCCAGCCAUCCCGCGUGAGUGAAGAAGGCCUUCGGGUUGUAAAGCUCUUUCAGACGGAAAGAAAAAGUCCCGGUUAAUACGGAGGAUGAAUGACGGUACCGUCAGAAGAAGCACCGGCUAACUACGUGCCAGCAGCCGCGGUAAUACGUAGGGUGCGAGCGUUAUUCGGAAUUACUGGGCGUAAAGGGUGCGCAGGCGGUUUUGUAAGUCAGAUGUGAAAUCCCCGGGCUUAACCUGGGAAAUGCAUUUGUGACUGCGAGGCUAGAGUGUGGCAGAGGGGGGUAGAAUUCCACGUGUAGCAGUGAAAUGCGUAGAUAUGUGGAGGAAUACCGAUGGCGAAGGCGGCCCCCUGGGCUAACACUGACGCUCAGGCGCGAAAGCGUGGGGAGCAAACAGGAUUAGAUACCCUGGUAGUCCACGCCCUAAACGAUGUCAACUGGGUGUUGGGGAAGGAGACUUCCUCAGUA